AUUGAACGCUGGCGGCAGGCUUAACACAUGCAAGUCGAGCGGGGAAGGGUAGCUUGCUACCUAACCUAGCGGCGGACGGGUGAGUAAUGCUUAGGAAUCUGCCAUUUAGUGGGGGACAACAUUCCGAAAGGAAUGCUAAUACCGCAUACGUCCUACGGGAGAAAGCAGGGGAUCUUCGGACCUUGCGCUAAAUGAUGAGCCUAAGUCGGAUUAGCUAGUUGGUGGGGUAAAGGCCUACCAAGGCGACGAUCUGUAGCGGGUCUGAGAGGAUGAUCCGCCACACUGGGACUGAGACACGGCCCAGACUCCUACGGGAGGCAGCAGUGGGGAAUAUUGGACAAUGGGCGGAAGCCUGAUCCAGCCAUGCCGCGUGUGUGAAGAAGGCCUUUUGGUUGUAAAGCACUUUAAGCGAGGAGGAGGCUCUUCUAGUUAAUACCUAGGAUGAGUGGACGUUACUCGCAGAAUAAGCACCGGCUAACUCUGUGCCAGCCGCCGCGGUAAUAC
rnacentral:rRNA from 1 species